ensembl:lncRNA
CACACAGCAGGAGCCAACCUGGGAUGUGCUGCACCCACCUGAAGCGGGGAACGGAGAGAGAAAUGCCCGGGGGAGGGGAAGGCUCUCCUGGCUGAGAGGCCUAGGGAGUCUCUGCAGGGUGUGGAUGGGCCAGGGUGGCCGAGGACUCAGAGUCCCCGAGUCUGCAGCUUCCUCCUCUCACCUCCCCAGGGACGGGGGAACAGGUCUGGGGCGGCCCGUUGGUAGGUGGAAGGGGAAGCGAGGCCAUAGAAUGUGCCCUUUGACCUUCUGACCACUGUCUUCUGCACCCCAAGAUCUGACCACUGAAAUAGCAAUCAUGACUUUCACGCAGCUUCUUGUAAAGCCGAGCCUUCACUGUGGGCUCUCGGAGCACCAGCAUUUUACCCCAAGUCUGCUGCCUGCCUACGUGUCCACUCCCUGCACCCCUGUUGGCACCUGUGUGUGUCCUGCCCUGGAGCAGCCCCCACACUCCUCUGCACCGGACAAUUCCUAGAAUGAGGAAGGGAUGGAAAUGACCCCAGAAAGUGGAAGAGCACACUGGAAGCGGAAGCAUUGGUCUGUGAUCACUGUUUCUCCCUCCAAAGGGGUUGGGGUGGAAGCCAAGUUGUUUCAGCCCACAGGGGCUCUGUGAAGUCAGGGAGCCUGUGCCAGCGCCCUCCUCCCUCCCUGACCCAUGAACCCAAGUCCCACGGGCCCUGAAUGUGCCAAUCACUCAUUCAUUCAACAAGCAUCCUGGAGCAACCAGGCCCUGGGCACCCUGGUGCUGAGAUGAAAAGUCAGUGUCUGCCCCGGGAGGGACACACCAUGGAGGGAGAGAUAAGACAGCACUACACUCUGCACGUGCCCUGGGAGACGGGCGUUUUAUGAGAAACCUGAACAAGAACGCAACUAACCCCCAGGACUGCAUCUCAGACGGUGGAAUUGGAGGCAUCCGGAGGAGAUACUCAGAAAGGAAUGAAGGAAGACGGGAAGGGAAAAGGAAGGAAGGAAAGAGGAAAGAAGGGAGGAAAGGAGAAAGUGGGGAGAAGAGAUGGAGACCAGUUGCAGCCAAACGCUAUGGCUGCUGGGAAUGGCGAGAAGACUCCUCUGCAUCUGUGCGCGACCAUCCGCGAGAGCCGGCUAGGGAGCCUCCCAGGCCGCAGAGCACCUCGUGGUCAGGACGGGACCUCCUUCACCUGCCCCCAGAGCGGGCUUCUGCAUGAUGCCCAUCCAUGGAGUUGUGCAUUCAUCCCCAGCAUUCAGCAGCUUCCACAGACCAGACCCCGAGGUUGAGGAUUGGGACGCAAGCAGGACAGCCCCAUGGCCUCGCCACAGCAGCCAUAUUAUCCGUACAAGCAGUCGUCGGAAGUUGGCCUGGCCUCCGGACACAGGGCGAGCAGAAAUCCACGCCUGCCGCCGGCUCCUCUCGCCAGCAGGAGACAAUCCCAGCAAAACCACGCCAUAAACUGAGCCCACGCUCUUCCUCCCACGCAGCAAACCCGUCCCGGGAGAUGAAGGGGAGGAGGGGAGCGUGUCCCUCACCCUGGGAGACAGAAACAGGAGCGCACGCUGCUCCUUCCGCGUCCCGCGGGUGAUUCACUGCCUCACACACAGAGCCCUGAGGGGAAAGGGGGCAGCCGCGACUCUGAAAGCCGGCAUCCCUCCGCUGGCCUUGCACAGCUUGCCUAACCUCUCUGGGUUCCAGGCCCACCGUGGGGAAGCCCCCUGCCCACUGGGCUGCCACACAGCCUGGAACGGGAGGCAGAGUGCUGAGGCCGGCAUCCUGCCCUGCUCCACCGCACCCACUGGGCGCCCGAGGCCGAGCCAGCCCCCUCCGUGUGUG